CGGCUGUGUUCCCUCCCCGGAGGGAACUCGACACAGAAGGUGUGUAAACGGCGGGACGAACUAUGACUCUCUUAGGGUAGCCAAAUGCCUCGUCAUCUAAUUAGUGACGCGCAUGAAUG
rnacentral:ncRNA from 1 species